UGCCAGCAGCCGCGGUAAUACUGAAGGUGCAAGCGUUAAUCGGAAUCACUGGGCGUAAAGCGCUCGUAGGUGGCUUUGUAAGUCAGAAGUGAAAGGCUACGGCUCAACCGUAGUAAGCUUUUGAAACUGCAAAACUAGAGUUCAGGAGGGUAAGUGGAAUUCCUAGUGUAGAGGUGAAAUUCGUAGAUAUUAGAAGGAACACCGGUGGCGAAGGCGACUUCCUGGACUAUUACUGACACUGAGGAGCGAAAGCGUGGGGAGCAAACAGGAUUAGAUA
rnacentral:rRNA from 1 species